rnacentral:rRNA from 1 species
UACAGAGGGUGCAAGCGUUGUUCGGAAUCACUGGGCGUAAAGCGCGUGUAGGCUGCUGCGCAAGUCGGAUGUGAAAUCCCACGGCUCAACCAUGGAAGUGCAUUCGAAACUGCGUAGCUAGAGUUUUGGAGAGGAAGGCGGAAUACUCGGUGUAGAGGUGAAAUUCGUAGAUAUCGAGUGGAACACCGGUGGCGAAGGCGGCCUUCUGGACAAUGACUGACGCUGAAACGCGAAAGCGUGGGGAGCAAACAGG